CAGUAGCCGCGGUAAUACGUAGGGUGCAAGCGUUAAUCGGAAUUACUGGGCGUAAAGCGUGCGCAGGCGGUUCGGAAAGAAAGAUGUGAAAUCCCAGAGCUUAACUUUGGAACUGCAUUUUUAACUACCGGGCUAGAGUGUGUCAGAGGGAGGUGGAAUUCCGCGUGUAGCAGUGAAAUGCGUAGAUAUGCGGAGGAACACCGAUGGCGAAGGCAGCCUCCUGGGAUAACACUGACGCUCAUGCACGAAAGCGUGGGGAGCAAACAGGAUUAGAUACCCGAGUAGUCCCUGUCUCUUAUAC
rnacentral:rRNA from 1 species